GACACGCUGGUGGCUGAGGGGGCAGGAGCCUGAAGAACGUUUGGGAGGGGUUAGAGGCCUUCCUUAGAUAGCUUUCCUUGGCUAUGAUGGAGCAGUGCCUAGAAUGGGCUAUUCAACUUCCUUCUCCUCCACUGGGAGCUCCCCCUGGCCCUGAGAUGGGUCUAGUCCGUUUCUCCCACCCGGUGGCUGCUUCCCCCACUGGGGCCUUGUAAUCACCACACAGUGACUGACUCAGCCCUUCCUUCCCCUCCCAGCCCCUUCUUCCUGGAAACCAUCCACAUCAGCCCCAGCCCCCGUGGGCCCAGAGGGAGAGAAUUGGAAGCCGCCUUCUCCAAGGGAAGCCUUCCGAACCCCCGGUUGAUGUCAAGUCCCCAUGUGGCACCCUCGGAGAAACCCUGGGCAACUGUCGCGUCCGCACCACCGUCAACUGAUUCACCCGCACCCCCCACUGGACAGUAGCCUCCAGCGUCUCCCCAGAGUGCCUGCAACAUAGAUUGCCCGCACGCCGCACAAGAUUUCCAACGGGAGAGGAGCGUGGACGGGACGAUUGAUUCUCCGAGCCCUCCUGCCCCUGAUUCCUAGCCCUUCUACUCCCAUCCGCAGAGGUAAACCACGGUUGCUAGAUGUUCUUACUAGAUGUUCGAAGGGGCAGAGCACUUGGCGGGGACGGAGUCCUCAAGGGGAACGUGGGCUUCGGGAAGGGCCUGCGGGAAUCAGGAACGGCCGCGCCUUCCAGACCCUGGCCCCGUUCUCCUCCUGCUCCUGGAGCAGAGGAGCCGGGAGGGUGCUGCCGCCUGCCUCCUGGGAGAGCGGCUGCCCUGAGGGGCCGCCUCAGCCAGCCCGGCAUCUCCCCUUUCCCACCCCUCCGGGGGGCGGCUGACUCGGCCCUGGAGGCCCCGGGUUCCUUCUGAGCAGAUGCUUCAGAGUCUGGGAAGAUCUGGGAGUGAUGGAGCCGGCAGAGGAGGCCAGGCUCAGCUGGGCCCUCAGGGAGCAGUGUGCGGGGAUGAGGGGUCAGCAGGGUCACGGGGCAGCAGCUGUCCCAGAGACCUCAGAGGGGCCCCUUGGCCCAGGCAGCUGCUGGCCUCUCAGC